CACGUAGGGCGCGAGCGUUGUCCGGAAUUAUUGGGCGUAAAGAGCUCGUAGGCGGCCUGUUGCGUCCGCUGUGAAAGCCCGGGGCUUAACCCCGGGUCGGCAGUGGAUACGGGCAGGCUAGAGGUAGGUAGGGGAGAAUGGAAUUCCCGGUGUAGCGGUGAAAUGCGCAGAUAUCAGGAGGAACACCGGUGGCGAAGGCGGGUCUCUGGGCCGAUACUAACGCUGAGGAGCGAAAGCGUGGGGAGCGAACAGG
rnacentral:rRNA from 1 species